GGUGUGGCCUCCUGGGCCAGGACUGCCUGGCUCUCUGUUGAGAGAAGGAGGGAACUGGACUUAAGGAUGCCUCUGCUGCCUGUCCUGGUCCACAGAGUUCCAGGGCCACAGUGCUCUGUCCCCGAAGACAGCAGGAGGAAGGGAUCACAGUGGAGAGCUAUCACCCUGACACCACGAGGGAUUGAGGUAACGGGUACUCCAAACGAGCCAAUCUCAGAGUCAGGGCAAAUAAGAGCAGAGUCUUCGAAGACUAGGACUGAAUAAAUCUCCCACCCCGAGAGAAUCAGCACCCUGAGACAAGGCAAUCGGUUCCAAAGCAUCUCCAAAGCACCACCUGGAGCAAAGAUUUCAGCCCAUGAACCUUAGGAUAUAUAUAUUCCAACAUUCACCUACAGCAGUGGUCUUGGUCUUAUUAAUCAGGAAUGUUCUCCAGAGACCCUGCUGGAGGCUGGCAUGUCGGCUACAAGCCUGUCUUCAGCAGCAGGGGACUGAUUUCUCUGCAGAAAGCUUGCAGAAGCCCUACUCUGCAAAUGCGUCAGCCGCCAUUCCAUGAUCCUGCCUUGGGAGGUCUGUGAGGGCCCAGCCCACUUCCCACCGGAAGUUCUGAAGUUCUGGAUCAGGGUGCUGCUUACUUCUUCAGGAUUCCAGCAUCUACUGAAGACCAGCUGAGACAUCCGGUCUUGUGGACUUAGAAUCAUCUGGAAUUUUCGACUUUCUGUUCAUAGCCCACCAUUGUUGGUCUAGGUGG
rnacentral:lncRNA from 1 species